UGACCUUGUGAUCUAUCUGCUUCCGCCUCCCAAAAAAGAAGGAAAGAAAGAAAGAAAGAAAAGAAAGAAAGGGAAAGGAAGAAAGAAAGAAAAGUAAAAGGGAAAAUAUUUGAGAAAAUUAUUGCACAAAGUUCAAAAAAAGCAAAACUUGAAUUUGCUGAACAACUAGUACUACGUUGAAUCAAUGUGAAUGAAAUGAUUUAUAGGCAUUGUAGUAGCAAUUAUAGGUAAUCUAGAGAUUAUUUAAAGUAUACAGGAUGAUGUGUAUAGGUUAGAUGCAAAUACUAUGCCAGUUUAUAUAUGGGACCUGAUCAUUCUUGGAUUUUGUGUCUGUUGGAGGGCCCUGGAACCAAUCCCCCAUGAAUACCAAGGGACUACUGUUAUUUGUCCUCUUGGUUAUACCUAACAUGGGAAAUGUGAAUUGGUA
rnacentral:lncRNA from 10 species